GACGAACGCUGGCGGCGUGCUUAACACAUGCAAGUCGAACGAAGUGGCGAACGGGUGAGUAACGCGUAAUCAACCUGCCCUUCAGAGGGGGACAACAGUUGGAAACGACUGCUAAUACCGCAUACGGAAGGAGUGGAUUGCGUCUGAUUGGCUAGUGGGAGGGGUAACGGCCGACCAAGGCGAUGAUCAGUAGCCGGGCUGAGAGGAUGAACGGCCAAAUUGGGACUGGGACACGGGCCAGAAUCCUACGGGAGGCAGCAGUGGGGAAUCUUCCGCAAUGGACGAAAGUCUGACGGAGCAACGCCGCGUGAGUGAUGACGGCCUUCGGGUUGGAAAGCUAUGUUAAUCGGGACGCGGUACCGGAAUAGAAAGCCACGGCUAACUACGUGCCAGCAGCCGCGGUAAUAC
rnacentral:rRNA from 1 species